ACCUUCUCUGUUUUACCCUCAUCGAAAUUGACCUCCAGCCUCUCCCUCUUCCUCCCUCCCGAAAUCGCCGAAAUCGACCUCUUAACAUCAACAGAAGCUGUUUCUGCAAAAUCACCUCCACCCUCUCCCUCUCUCUCCCUCCCGAAAUCGCCGCUCCCGUUUCACUCCACCGUCUCAGAUCUCCGACCCAACUGUUUUGGCAAGUUAUUCUUCUCUUUUUUUCAUCUCGGAUUUUUAUUUUCUUCCUCAUGAUUUUCUUUUUUAUCAUUUUAUUUGUUUAUUCCCACUGGUUAUUCCCACCGGCCGAAUGUUGUUUAUUUUUAGAACUGAUUUGCUUGUUCUGUCAACACGCUGCAGAUUUGUGUUCUUCAAAUGCAAAUAAACCCCAAAAAAAACCUUUCCAAUUCAAUCAAG
rnacentral:lncRNA from 1 species